GAGACACUGUAGAACACUUGAUCGGAUGGCCAGCAGCUCUUCAACUCAUAUCCAGUGGUGGUGGCCCACUUCAAAUGCAUGAUCCGAUGGCUCAAAAUGAUCCUGAGUAAGAUCGAACGGCUGUGGUUGGUUGCCAAUAGAAAAACUAAACAGAGAAGGAUUUUUUGAGCACCAUCCAAUGGUUGAAAUCAAAUCUCAGGCC
rnacentral:lncRNA from 1 species